rnacentral:lncRNA from 1 species
GCUGUUUCUACAAGAGCUUAUUCUCUCAAGAUCCAGGGUAUUUUGAGUGGUCCUUUCCCAGUUGAGUUAGAAGCUGGCUGGCUGAGAAUAAGAAAAUACAGUAUGUGAGCACUUGGAGGAGAAACUGUAGGUUGCAAUAGUGGAAGGGAGGAGGAUUUUGAGCAAAAGAAGAAACUUGUGUUGUUAGGAGCUGCGACCACGCUAUUCAUUGCCUGAGUAGCCAAGCAUGUUAAGGUAAGGAUGAAGUAACAACCAUGCAGUAUGCAGGGUCCGGUCGAGUGUCAUUCUGAAAGCAUGAGUGCAGUCUGAGUUUCUUGAGUGAGUCAGCGUGUUGAAUCCUGUGUGAGACAACCAGGCAGAAUCACUUCCUUACAUUCUUCCUGAGUUUGGGGAUGAUGCGGAAACUGCCCCUUGGAAGGAAUGAACCACAAGCUAUUUGCUCUGCUGCUAAAGGAACAGCACCAACAGAGUCUGCAUGUUUGAGUUCAGUGUUGACUUUCCUUGUGCAGUGAAGGGAAGAGCUAGAAGCUAACCCACCCAAGGAGGGAGUCUAGGUGAAGAAAGAGAGAAAUCUGGAGCAAUGCUAAGCAGUUGAAAAUAAGAAUACAACUGAUUUCGGUUUGAUAUGCUAGGGUGUGUUUUGGGCACCUGCAUUUCCAACAGUGUUUUAAGUGGGGAAUGUUAAGCUGGUUUUGAACUUGGUGUUAUCUAUGAAUUGUGUUCUGGUCAUAGGUUUGGGACUUUUCUGAACUGUAAUUGUUUUCUUUCUUUAAUAAGUGACUGUUGUGGUUACUGAAUUGGGGCUACGGGUUAUAAUGAACAGUUUUACGUAAGGCAAUCCUUUCAUUGUAUAGCUCUUUCAAUUAACAAAACUGGACGUGCAUUGCAAAGAUCAAAUGAUUCCUUUGUUGAGCAUACAGCUCUUCAGAAAGGUUCUGGACUGAGGAGAUCUUCCUGGCUACUGUUGACAUGAAAGCUGUUACUAAUGCCUCUUUUAAAAAGUAAAGUAGGUCAUUUUCAUGCAUGCUAAGUGGAUUGUUCCAAGGGUGCCACAUAGUGCCCGCCCAAGACUCCAAGGAGAGGAGUAUUUUUACUUGAGUUUGGGAUUACAGGAUGUGUGAGGAGCAUCGAUAAUCACAGAGUAGAGUAUUCUUGACAGGCAGUUAAGCACCUGCAGCCACUUGAAAAACUUGCAUCUUUACUGCCUACCUGCAAUAAACAGUCAUUCAUUCACCCCUCCCGUGAAAAUAAAAGUUCUGCAAUAUGCUGGGUUGUUGAAAAACUAAGCACACCUGUUAUUCUUUAUGCAAAA